AGUUUGUGAAUGUUAUGUAACAGAUGAAAUUGUUUUUUUUCUUCAUCAUAGAUUUCUAUUUUGAAUAUUAUAAAAAUUGUGAUAGGAAGUAUUUUUUCUCAAAUGAACUCUAUUUGAUUCAAACUCUAAUAGAAUGUGGGAGAAGGGAGCUAGACUAACCGAUAAAAUAGUUGUUAUGUAACAAGAAAAUCACUUGGUCAAGUCAUAGAAACACUCGUUUCAAGUAUUUAAGGUAAAACUAGAUUCUAUAUAAUAGACUCUUAUGAUUUAAUCAAUUAAAAAUGAGAAAAAAAAAACUUCCCUAGCUAGCUAGCUCUCUACACAAGUAUUUAAACACUACACUUCCCAAUAUCACAGGACCAUAGAAAUUAAACUUAACCAUCAAUAGCCAUGGAAGGAAAAAACUUCCUUAGAUAUAUCUUCUUCCUCAUGAGCAUAAUUUUGCUCUUAAUUUUCACUUUUUUAAACUUACCAUCUCCACUUCCCAACACAUCUCAUCUAUUCAACUGCACCACAUAUAACUCCCCAUGGUGCAAUUCAAAAAGAUCCUUAUUCCUCCAACAACCAAAACUUACCAAAAAUCACUACGCCGAUUUUCCUAACCAUCCUUUAGACCCAUUAACGAUCGAUGAAAUUCAAAAGGUCAAAAAAAUCGUUAAUUCGAUUAAGGAAUUUAGUAAAAAUGGUUACGUUCUUCAUUCUGUUGUACUCGAAGAGCCAGAGAAGGAGGUGGUGCUGAGCUGGCGAAAAGGCCGCCAGCUACCACCGAGGAAGGCCUCGGUGGUGGCACGUGCACUUGAUAUAGUACACGUGCUUACCGUUGAUAUUGAGACGGGUCGUGUGACCCGUCGUCAAACGGGUGGUAAUUCGGGUUACCCGAUGAUGACGAUCGAGGAUAUGGUAACGGCGACUAAUGCACCGCUUGCGAACGCUGAUUUCAACCGUACGAUCGUCCAACGUGGCGUUGAUUUGGCUGACUUGGCAUGUUUGCCCAUCUCCCCCGGUUGGUAUGGGAAAGUUGAGGAGAAGAGAAGGGUAAUCAAAGUGCAGUGCUACAUAAUGAAGGACACUAUCAAUUUCUACAUGAGACCCAUUGAAGGACUAACAGUACUACUUGAUUUAGACACACAACAAGUCAUACAAAUUAUAGAUGAAGGAAAGAACAUACCAAUAGCAAAAGCCACCAACACAGAAUAUCGUUUCUCUAGUACACAAAAAAACACACAAAAAAUAAACUUGCUCAAACCAAUAUCUAUAGAACAACCAAAUGGUCCAAGUUUCACUAUAGAAAACAACCAUUUAGUUAAAUGGGCAAAUUGGGAAUUUCACCUCAAACCCGACCCGAGAGCCGGGAUGGUUAUCUCCCAAGUCAUGGUUCAGGAUCCGGAUACAGGUAAAAUGAGAAAUGUCAUGUAUAAAGGGUUUACUUCAGAGCUAUUUGUACCGUACAUGGAUCCUUCGGAUGCAUGGUAUUUUAAGACGUAUAUGGAUGCGGGUGAAUACGGGUUCGGGUUACAAGCAAUGCCACUUGAACCGUUAAAUGAUUGCCCGCGUAACGCGUAUUAUAUGGAUGGUGUAUUCGUAGCAGCGGAUGGAACACCGUAUGUACGAUCUAAUAUGGUUUGUGUGUUUGAAAGCUAUGCUGGUGAUAUUGGAUGGAGACAUGCUGAAUCUCCCAUUACUGGUUUGCCGAUUCGAGAAGUUAGGCCAAAGGUGACGUUAGUGGUGAGAAUGGCUGCUUCAGUGGCAAACUAUGAUUACAUUGUUGAUUGGGAGUUUCAGACCGAUGGACUUAUUCGAGCUAAGAUCCAAAUUGAAACAGUGCCUUCAGCAAUUAAACGCAAAUCAAUCUCCAAGACGAAAAACAGAACAUCAAUAGGUUGGACUAAGUGGAAUAUUGAUGGUGAAAGGUUCUCCAUAUGUGAACAUGAAUCAAGUGAACCAAAAUGAGUAUCUCUAUGGUACUCUCUUAUCUGAAAACAUAAUAGGAGUAAUCCAUGAUCACUACGUAACUUUCCAUCUCGACAUGGACAUCGAUGGUCCAUCGAAUAAUUCUUUCGUGAAGGUGAAUCUCCAGAAGGAGAUGACUUCUCCUGGAGAAUCACCGCGGAAAAGCUACUUAAAAGCUGUUCGAAAUGUGGCUAAAACUGAAAAAGAUUCACAAAUUAAGCUCAAGCUAUAUGAUCCUUCAGAAUUCCAUGUGAUUAAUUCUAAUAAGAAGUCAAGAGUUGGGAACCCUACUGGUUACAAAGUGGUUCCUGGUGGCACUGCAGCUAGUUUACUUGACCAUGGUGAUCCUCCACAAAAGAGAGGUGCUUUUACAAAUAACCAAAUUUGGGUGACACCUUAUAAUGAGUCUGAGCAGUGGGCUGCUGGCUUGUUUGUUUACCAAAGUCAAGGUGAUGAUACUCUUGCUGUUUGGUCUGACCGAGACAGGCCAAUUGAGAAUGAAGACAUAGUGGUGUGGUAUACAUUAGGAUUCCAUCAUAUUCCAUGCCAAGAGGAUUUCCCAAUAAUGCCAACAGUGUCAUCAAGCUUUGAGAUAAAGCCAGUUAAUUUCUUUGAGAGCAAUCCAAUUCUUAAUAUUCCACCUAAUUCUCCAAAGGACCUCCCAAUUUGCAAAGCUGCUGCUUCUGCUUGAUUAUGACCAAUUUCUCUUGUCUAAUCUUGUGCAUACUAGUAGGCAGUCAUUAGACUUGGACUUCGUGUAUCUUGGUCUCAAAUUUUAAUGAAUAAAUAGUGAAUUCUGAU